UCCCAAAAUGUGUGAGUCACCAUGCAUGGCCUGAAUUAUUUCUUGAUUAUAUGCUAAACAAGAGGUGAAUUAUUCAUGAGUUUUCUAGGAAAGGGCAAUUCCCAGAGCUGUGAGUUUCUCCUCUUUUUAGAACCUAUAGGGUAACUUUCUGAUGUUGCCAUGGCAUUUGUAAACUGUUGUGGAGGGAGCGUCUGUUAGCAUGCUAAUGCAUUAUAAUUAGCAUAUAAUGAGCAGUGAGGAUGACCAGAGGUCACUUUCGUCACCAUCUUGGUUUUGGUGGGUUUUGUCUGACUUCUUUACCACAACCUCUUUUAUCAGCAGGGCCUUUGUGACUUUUACCUUGUGCCAACCUAUCUCAUCCUGUGACUAAGAAUGCCUAAUCUCCUGGGAAUGCAGCCCAGUAGGUCUCAGCCUUAUUUUAACCAGCCUCUAUUCAAGAUGGAGUCACUGUGGUUCAAACACCUCUGACAUCAUGAGCCAGCAGCCAUGGAUGGAAACCAAUAUAUAUCAUUAUAAGACCACAAAAUUACUGACAAUUUUCCUGAGGAAUGAAAGCCUGGCUGUAUGUUGCUACUAUGGACCAGGCAUGAUGCUGGUGCUGGGGAAACAUUGCCAAAGUUCCUGCUUUCAAGUUGUCUGUAGUCCAACAGAGAAAGAAGCAAGGACGUAUCAAGAGUUUCAACCUGAAGAAGCAGAGCAACUGUCCAUCGCUCAAUUGCUAGAGCUCUGAGGGAAAUCUGGAAAACCUAAAGCCCAAGAACAGUUAUUUCUACAGGACUGGGGUAUGUAUGGACAAGUUUCUAGUUCCACACAUUAGGGAAGAAGUACACAUUUGCAACAAGUACUUUGUUAAAUGAAAAUCCAGAGGAUGAUGGAGAAACCAUCUCAGUUCCAAUGUUCAUGUGGGAAGGGGUAGGGGGUAGACCCCAGGCUUGACAGGAAUUUAAGAAAAAGUUUUUUUGGAUCUUUUAUCUUGUUCUUUUUUUUUUUUUUUUUUUUGAGACGGAGUCUUGCUCUGCCGCCCAGGCUGGAGU